rnacentral:rRNA from 1 species
GACCCGAAACCCGGUGAUCUAGCCAUGGGCAGGUUGAAGGUUGGGUAACACUAACUGGAGGACCGAACCGACUAAUGUUGAAAAAUUAGCGGAUGACCUGUGGCUGGGGGUGAAAGGCCAAUCAAACCGGGAGAUAGCUGGUUCUCCCCGAAAGCUAUUUAGGUAGCGCCUCGUGAAUUCAUCUCCGGGGGUAGAGCACUGUUUCGGCUAGGGGGCCAUCCCGGCUUACCAACCCGAUGCAAACUGCGAAUACCGGAGAAUGUUAUCACGGGAGACACACGGCGGGUGCUAACGUCCGUCGUGAAGAGGGAAACAACCCAGACCGCCAGCUAAGGUCCCAAAGUCAUGGUUAAGUGGGAAACGAUGUGGGAAGGCCCAGACAGCCAGGAUGUUGGCUUAGAAGCAGCCAUCAUUUAAAGAAAGCGUAAUAGCUCACUGGUCGAGUCGGCCUGCGCG